AGAUUGAACGCUGGCGGCAUGCCUUACACAUGCAAGUCGAACGGCAGCACGGGAGCAAUCCUGGUGGCGAGUGGCGAACGGGUGAGUAAUACAUCGGAACGUGCCCAAUCGUGGGGGAUAACGCAGCGAAAGCUGUGCUAAUACCGCAUAAGAUCUACGGAUGAAAGCAGGGGAUCGCAAGACCUUGCGCGAAUGGAGCGGCCGAUGGCAGAUUAGGUAGUUGGUGAGGUAAAGGCUCACCAAGCCUUCGAUCUGUAGCUGGUCUGAGAGGACGACCAGCCACACUGGGACUGAGACACGCCCAGACUCCUACGGGAGGCAGC
rnacentral:rRNA from 1 species